UUCCACAAUGUCUUUUUCACUCUCUUUGAUAUUUGGAAUCAAAAACCUGCAAGGACUAAGGACAUUCGGUGGAAUAAUGUUAGAAUGAAGUGAAUUUAGAACUUCCUCACCUAAGUUGGAUGACAUAGGGAUUUGAGGAGCUUGCAGCAAGAAUUCUUCUAAACUGCCCAGGUCGUCUUCCUCCUCUUCUGCUUGCAGCAGCAAUUCAUCCAUGUUCGGGCUGUGUUUGGAUGGUUCUAGGACAGCUUCAUCCUUCAUGUCACCUUCCAAAGUGAUGGCUUCAUCGAUUUCACUUUCUGCCUUU
rnacentral:lncRNA from 1 species